UACAGAGGGGGCAAGCGUUGUUCGGAAUUAUUGGGCGUAAAGGGCGCGUAGGCGGCCAUUCAAGUGACGGGUGAAAGCCCUCGGCUUAACCGAGGAACUGCCUGUCAGACUGGAUGGCUUGAGACCGGGAGAGGUGAGUGGAAUUCCCAGUGUAGCGGUGAAAUGCGUAGAUAUUGGGGAGGAACACCAGUGGCGAAGGCGGCUCUCUGGGCCUUACCUGACGCUGAGGAGCGAAAGCUGGGGGGAGCCGAACAGG
rnacentral:rRNA from 1 species